rnacentral:lncRNA from 1 species
UUUAAUUUUUCAAAAUUCUAAUUUCUUUCAAAUUUAAUUUCUAAAAAUCCGAAUUCCAAACAAACUCUAAAACUCCAAAUUUCUAGUGAUUUUCGAGAUUCCAAUUUUUCAAUUAAAUUUCAAAAAUCUAAUUUUCUCCCGAAUAGUUUUAAUUCCGCUCUGGCUUUCAAAUAAUCUUAUGCUCCUCUUGACUUUAAUAAGCAGGAACGAAUUUUCUGUAAUUCCGAAUAAUGGAAUUUAUGGGAUUAA